rnacentral:rRNA from 1 species
CCUACGGGAGGCAGCAGUAGGGAAUAUUGGGCAAUGGGCGAGAGCCUGACCCAGCCAUGCCGCGUGCAGGAAGAAGGCUUUCUGGUCGUAAACUGCUUUUGAGGAAAACGCGGUACCUGCAGAAUAAGCACCGGCUAACUCCGUGCCAGCAGCCGCGGUAAUACGGAGGGUGCGAGCGUUGUCCGGAUUUAUUGGGUUUAAAGGGUGCGUAGGCGGCUUUUUAAGUCUGGGGUGAAAGCCCGCUGCUCAACAGCGGAACUGCCCUGGAUACUGGAGAGCUUGAGUACAGACGAGGUUGGCGGAAUGGACGGAGUAGCGGUGAAAUGCAUAGAUACCGUCCAGAACCCCGAUUGCGAAGGCAGCUGACUAGGCUGUACUGACGCUGAGGCACGAAAGCGUGGGGAGCGAACAGGAUUAGAUACCCUUGUAGUC